rnacentral:rRNA from 1 species
UCCUACGGGAGGCAGCAGUGGGGAAUCUUGCGCAAUGGGCGAAAGCCUGACGCAGCGACGCCGCGUGGGGGAAGAAGGCCUUCGGGUUGUAAACCCCUUUCAGUAGGGACGAAGCCACUCGGGUUAAUAGCCCAGAGGGUGACGGUACCUACAGAAGAAGCCCCGGCUAACUACGUGCCAGCAGCCGCGGUAAUACGUAGGGGGCAAGCGUUGUCCGGAUUUAUUGGGCGUAAAGAGCGUGUAGGCGGCUAGGUAGGUCCGUUGUGAAAACUGGAGGCUCAACCUUCAGACGUCGAUGGAAACCAUCUGGCUAGAGUCCGGAAGAGGAGAGCGGAAUUCCUGGUGUAGCGGUGAAAUGCGCAGAUAUCAGGAGGAACACCGAUGGCGAAGGCAGGUCUCUGGGCCAUUACUGACACUGAGAAGCGAAAGCAUGGGGAGCGAACAGGAUUAGAUACCCUGGUAGUCCAUGCCGUAAACGGUGGGAACUAGGUGUGGGUCUCAUUCCACGAGAUCCGUGCCGCAGCUAACGCAUUAAGUUCCCCGCCUGGGGAGUACGGCCGCAAGGCUAAAACUCAAAGGAAUUGACGGGGGCCCGCACAAGCGGCGGAGCGUGCGGAUUAAUUCGAUGCAACGCGAAGAACCUUACCAAGGCUUGACAUGUGCCGGUAAAGUGCAGAGAUGUGCUCCCCGCAAGGUCGGUACACAGGUGGUGCAUGGUUGUCGUCAGCUCGUGUCGUGAGAUGUUGGGUUAAGUCCCGUAACGAGCGCAACCCUCGUUCUAUGUUGCCAGCGGGUUAUGCCGGGGACUCAUAGGAGACUGCCGGGGUCAACUCGGAGGAAGGUGGGGAUGACGUCAAAUCAUCAUGCCCCUUAUGUCUUGGGCUUCACGCAUGCUACAAUGGCCAGUACAAAGGGCUGCGAUACCGUAAGGUGGAGCGAAUCCCAAAAAACUGGUCUCAGUUCGGAUUGGGGUCUGCAACUCGACCCCAUGAAGUCGGAGUCGCUAGUAAUCGCAGAUCAGCAACGCUGCGGUGAAUACGUUCCCGGGCCUUGUACACACCGCCAU